UUUGCAUAUGCAGACUACCCACCCUAACACAAGGAAGCAUUUAAAGACUGACGCUGUCAGUGAUGUGAGCCACUGCUUUUCAGGAGCUGAGCUGGACUGUGAUCUCACCAUGUCUAUCCACUGUGAACUGCUAAUACUGAUACUUGCUCUGACUCUUGAUGGUCAAGUUCAUACAGGGGAAAUCAUUGGAGGUAAGGAGGCUGUGCCACAUAGCAGACCCUACAUGGUGCUUUUGGAGCGGCACAUGCAGGAUGGUAAAACAAUACACUGCGGUGGCUUCCUUCUGAAUGAGGAUUUUGUGAUGACUGCAGCCCACUGCCAAGCCAGUUCCUACACAGUCUUACUAGGAGUUCACAAUAUCCAUAAGAGUAAUGGAGUACAGCGUAUAUCUGUGGAGCAAGCAUUUCCACGUAAAGACUACAAUGAAACUGAUUUCAACAAUGACAUAAUGCUUCUUAAGUUGAGCUCCAAGGCAAAAUUUAGCGAAAAUGUGAGACCCAUUGCUCUGCCAGGCCAAGAUGUUGGCUCUCUGCCAAAAUCAUGUAUAACGUCCGGCUGGGGAAAAACAGACAAGAAUCACAAUUAUAUGUCUGUUGUACUCAUGGAAGUCAAUGUAACACUGAUUGAAAGUAAGCAGUGUCCUACUAACAACACGUACUGCUCUGAGGGAGUAACUGGACCUGAUAAGGGAGAUUCUGGAGGUCCACUGGUCUGUGAAGAUGGGAAGGCGUACGGUGUGGUAUCCCACAUCUUCCAACCACACUCAGGUGGCCCGGAAAUCAAAUGUUUCGCUAAGAUUCCUGACUACAGAAGCUGGAUUGAAUUGACCUUGACAAAUGCAUGAAAAAGCUUUGAAAUGAUCACAUCACAAGAUUUGAAUUUACUGUUUGUAUAACACUGGAGAGCUGAUAAUUGAGAUGCUAAUAUCACAACUUAUUCCAAAGCUAUGAGACUGUCAGACCAAAGACUGGACUUGCUUACUUUACACAGAUUUAUAUAAAAUGUGCUUCAUUUUGACAUUACCAAAUGAUACAAAAUAACUUCCUGUUUGAGAAACUGAGUCAAAAGAGUGAAAAUAUAUGAAUGUGAUUCGGUUCAUUUAGGUGACAUUGUUUGGCUUUUUUUCAUCAUACAGCUGUUUUUUCCUGCUGCAGGGGGCUUUAACGUGACAUUUUAUUUGAAUAAACCUUAAAUUAAUCCAAGCAAAUUUGAUCCAAGCACAUGCAGGUUAUUUUAACAAUCAUGACACACAUUAAUUAGGCUUAUAAUGGACUCCAUACUGCUUAAUAAAUGUAAUAUCAUAGACACUCUAUGUCAUCCUGCUCAUAAAUACAACAGUAUCUGCAUUAUCUACAUUACUGCCAUGUGUAUCUUCUUUUUGACUUGAUUAAAUGAGAACACAGGAUCCUUUAAGUUUGUUUUGUACCAUCUUUUUGAACAAUAAACUGUUGUUCUCUCAGUA